rnacentral:sRNA from 1 species
AAUUUUGGUAAGCAGAACUGGCGCUGUG